UACGGAGGAUCCAAGCGUUAUCCGGAAUCAUUGGGUUUAAAGGGUCCGUAGGCGGUUUAGUAAGUCAGUGGUGAAAGCCCCAUCGCUCAACGGUGGAACGGCCAUUGAUACUGCUGAACUUGAAUUAUUAGGAAGUAACUAGAAUAUGUAGUGUAGCAGUGAAAUGCUUAGAGAUUACAUGGAAUACCAAUUGCGAAGGCAGGUUACUACUAAUGGAUUGACGCUGAUGGACGAAAGCGUGGGUAGCGAACAGG
rnacentral:rRNA from 1 species